rnacentral:lncRNA from 1 species
GUUCCCCAUUUGCUUUUUAUGAAAGAAAUAGUUCAAUUAGUGACUUGAAAAUGUGUUUGUUUUUAAAGACAGAUGUGUUAACUAGUACAUGUAGUAGCACUAUAGAUCCAAUGUACAUUUGAAUUUGAUCUAGUCAUGCUAUUCUUUGAUCAUGAUUCAAUGUAAUUGAUGAAACUUAUAAAACAAAACUAAGGUGCCAAAUGUGUAAUAAAUCUUGUGACUGACUUGAAUUUGAACAAAAAAAUGAAUUAUGAACAUUAUGAAAUGAGGGUAAAUAAAUAUUUAUAUGUAUUAUGUAGGUUGAUUGAUAUACUUAUUAUAGCUUUACAC